GACUAACGCUGGCGGCGUGCCUAAUACAUGCAAGUCGAACGGGAUUCUUUGAUCAGCUUGCUGAGAGAAGGAUCUAGUGGCGGACGGGUGAGUAACGCGUGGGAAUCUGCCUCUUACUGGGGGAUAACAGUGGGAAACUACUGCUAAUACCGCAUAAGAUCUUCGGAUGAAAGGUGCAACUGCACCGGUAAGAGAUGAGCCCGCGUCCCAUUAGCUAGUUGGUGAGGUAAAGGCUCACCAAGGCGACGAUGGGUAGCCGGCCUGAGAGGGUGAACGGCCACACUGGGACUGAGACACGGCCCAGACUCCUACGGGAGGCAGCAGUAGGGAAUCUUAGGCAAUGGACGAAAGUCUGACCUAGCGACGCCGCGUGAGGGAAGAAGGCCUCGGUUGUAACUCCGUCAUGGGAAGAAGUAAGUGACGGUACCCAACGAGGAAGCCCUCGCUAACUACGUGCCAGCAGCCGCGGUAAGAGUAGUACA
rnacentral:rRNA from 1 species